UACAGGGGGGGCAAGCGUUGUUCGGAAUUACUGGGCGUAAAGGGCUCGUAGGUGGCCAACUAAGUCGGACGUGAAAUCCCUCAGCUUAACUGGGGAACUGCGUCCGAUACUGGAUGGCUUGAGUUUGGGAGAGGGAUGCGGAAUUCCAGGUGUAGCGGUGAAAUGCGUAGAUAUCUGGAGGAACACCGGUGGCGAAGGCGGCAUCCUGGACCAACACUGACACUGAGGAGCGAAAGCGUGGGGAGCAAACAGG
rnacentral:rRNA from 1 species